UUUCUUCUGUUUCUUUUCUUCUUCUCUGUUCUUCUUCUUCUGCGAGUGUUUGAGAGUAAACCUAGAGAAUUUGAUUGAGAGAAUCAAUAUAUGAUGAAGAUCAGAUGCAGUAUAAGUUUCUGCUGGUGUUGAUAAAGAAUUGAAAGUGGUGUUGAUGUUUUAUGAAGUAGAGUUAGGGUUUGAGGAUUGAUUUUUGGAUUCAUAUGGAAUUGGUAAGUUAAUUGAGUUGUUAGUGGAUGAAGAGUAAUGAAGUUGUGUAGCUGUGUUUGAUGAAGAAUCAAAGAAUUAGGGUUUCUGCUGAUAGAAGUUAGAAAUCGAAUUGCUGAUGGUUAAGAAGAAAUUGAAGGAUGGGUUUUGAAGAUUAUGAGGUGAAUAAGAAAUUAAUGAUGUUAAUUUGAAGAUUCAGUUACUGAGAAGGUAAUUAGGGUUUAUAAAGCAAAUCCAGGGAAGAUGAUAUUGAAGUUUUGGGAGAUCGAUUGGAGGUGGGUUUAACUUGAAUUAAGAGUUAAAGUGAAAAUAUAACUUGAAAUUGGUAGUUAAGGUUUGAUUAUGUUUUAAUGGAGGUCUCGAAAUUGAAUUAGAAUCUGAUUAGAACUGUUAGUGAUGACGGGAGUGUUUCGGUGUUGGAUGAACUUAACUGGUGGUUUGUCGAUGUGCAACAUGAGUAUUGAAUCAAGCUAAAGAAAGAAGAAUAGUCAAUUGGUUAAGAAAAUAUGUUUUGAGUGGACGGAUGUUUGAGGCAGUGGAGAGCUGGAGAUGGUGAAUAUGGAGUUGGGUAUUGUUUUUACUUGUUGAAUUAGUGGUUGGUUGUUGAGGUUGCAGAGAAUGUGAGUGGCUAGGGAUAAUGACGUUCUCUGUGUGGUUAAAAUUGCAGAACUGGAGUUUGUUGUGCUGAUGUUAAUCCAGUUAGGGAAUUAGUCUUGCAGUUGAUGAUGGUGUGUCUGUAUGUACGAGACUUUAAAUGUUGAUCUGAGAAGUUGUUGAACGGCUGAGAUUGGACAUUGCAGAUAGAAUUGUUAGUGAUUCUGGUUUAGAAUAAGAAUCAGGGAGUUGAUAAAUUAUUGUGCAGGCAGGAACUGGAAUGGUGGAGGUUUUGUAAUGUAUGUACUGGUGAUAGGAUGAUUGGGUAUACAAGCGAAGGUUAGAUGUUACAGUUGAAGUUGUUCAUGGCUGGUUUGGAGUUAGUAAUGGAACUGAGUUUGAGUUAGUUUGGUGGGUGUGUAGUUGUCAAUGAGUAUUGUAAGUGGUGAUGUUGUAAUUCAUGGAAACAGUCUGAGAUGUGUAGUAAGUGAUGAUCUUUGUAAGGAAUAGCUAAUAGCUCCAGAGGAGGCUUGCUACUGCUUUUUUAGGUAGGCUUAAAUUACAAAUGUAUUGAAUUAUAGAUUUCUGUUUGUAUAGAUUGUAAUUUGAAUUAUGGUUAAGAGUCUUGGUUGUUGCA